UACGUAGGGGGCAAGCGUUGUCCGGAAUCAUUGGGCGUAAAGCGCGUGUAGGCGGCCCGAUAAGUCCGCUGUGAAAGUCUAGGGCUCAACCCUGGAAUGCCGGUGGAUACUGUCGGGCUCGAGUCCGGAAGAGGCGAGUGGAAUUCCUGGUGUAGCGGUGAAAUGCGCAGAUAUCAGGAGGAACACCGGUGGCGAAGGCGACUUCCUGGACACCAACUGACGCUGAGACGCGAAAGCGUGGGGAGCAAACAGG
rnacentral:rRNA from 1 species